rnacentral:rRNA from 1 species
GUGAGAAUCGACUUAAUUUUAACGAAAAAAGAAGUAAAAGUGUACCUAUCAGUGAUCCCAAGAAGGGACAGAUGAAAUCGGAAUGGACUUUGGUAUAAACUGAAAGAUUUUGUUCUUUAAAUUUAUUGAAACGAAAAAGGGAUUAGAUACCCCGUUAUUCAAUGUGAAAAAAAAUUUUUAGUAGUAAUAGUUAAAGGCUUGAAACUAAAAAAAAAUGGCGGUAUUUCAGUCUGUUUGGAGGAACUUGUUUCGUAAUCGAUGAUCCCCGGAGAAUGAACUGUGUUUUAUGGUUUGUAUACCGUUGUCGUCAGAAGAUUUUUAAUAAAAAAUUUUCGAAGGUUGGUUUAACCCCUUGAAGUCAAAUCAAGGUGCAGCUAAUAGUACAGAGAGAAUGAGUUACAAUAAAAGAAAUUUAUACGGAACCCUGAUUGUAAACAAGGUGGGAAGGCGGAUUCAAAAGUAAAUUUUUUAAACAAAGGAAAGUUGAGUAGAGCUCUGAAAUAUGCACACAUCGCCCGUCGCUCUCAUACAAAUAUUGAG